rnacentral:lncRNA from 1 species
UGCCUCUGUCCAUCUGCAUACAAGAGAGUACAAGUCGUAUUAGUUUUCUAUUGGAGACCCUGAAUAAGGUACUCAAAUACGAUGCUUUUGGUUUGUCUCUCUAGGGUUGAUUAAACACAACCCUAAAUGUCCGGAGUCGAUCAAACACGACCCGGAAAAAACUUAAUGUGAAGGUGAUCAAACACACCUUCAAAAUAGCAAUAACCAAAGUUGAUCAAACACAACUUUGGACCCGGGGAGGAUAACCGGGAUUUUUAAACCUGCAAAGACACCGUCCCAAGCAUAGAAUGGAGUAGAAGAAGAGGAGAAAGCACUUUAUCUCCCCCGAGGUUAUUGAACUUUGAAGAGUUUUAGGGUUGUAAAGUAACAUACCGUAAAACUUGGAUGCUUGAUCGGACGAGAAGGAAGCAGUGGAGCGGACGGUCGGGGAGCUGCAGUCGUGGGCACCGGCGGCAACGGCGGCGGCCGAGGAAGGGCCGAGGGUUUUCGGCUUUUGGUUUUUAGGGUUUGGGAAAAACUAUUAGCUCAAGGGUUUGAGCAAAGGGCUGAUAACGUGAUGAAGUGAAAGUAAAUUGAGAAUAGAGAAUCGUGAAAGAUGUGUAUCUCAUUCAUUGAUAGGAGCCCUUUAUAUAGGGAAUUACACAUUACCAGUAUGGUAAGGAUAUGAAUACAUAGAUCUAGGCUAACUACAUAUCCUAUUGGCAUAAGGCAAAGACACACAUAAAGAAUAUCUAGAAAGAUAUGGAAUAUCCUAGAACAAUUCAUAUAUAUUUCAAUAAUUUACUCAUUAUACCUUACUCUCUGUUUUCUAGGCCUCCCACAAUUUAAUUUUUUUUUUCAUUUUGCAUGCAAACAUCUAUUUUCAGACCUCGAUUGCUUGAUUUCUUUUUUCUUCUCUUUUUUCAUGACAACCUCUUUGUCAACCUCAAUUCCUUGAUAAGUCAAUUGCAAAACAAUAAAAUACAUAAAUUAAUGAAAUGCACCCAGAAACCUUUAACUUAGAAGAAAACCCCAAGAAAGCCAAUCUCGUCGACC